rnacentral:tRNA from 1 species
GGUCUUGUGGCGGAAUGGCAGACGCGCCUGACUCAAAAUCAGGUGUCCCUCGGACGUGUGGGUUCAAGUCCCACCAAGACUA